UUUUGGUACUCUUAUCGUAUAUAUCUGUAUGUAUAUCUGUAUGUAUUGUGGUUUUUUGAGAUUGUUCUUUAACUCUGUUUUUCAUGUUUAUAAUGUUUAUAUUUCAUUUUUUUUAAAUAUGCUUUUAUAUUCUGUUUUUUUUUUUUUUUUUGUUUUUUUGAAAUCUGCCUAUGUAUGCUCUUUAAUCCAUGAUCAAAGUCUUAAUCUUCUGCGUUAUGAACCUUUUUUUACGUUUCUUUUCGUGUUCAUAUCAACAUGUUCUGUUUCGUUUUAGGGUUUCUAAUGGAUGAUUUUUCUUAUGGUUCUUUUUUUAUAUUCUUAGUUCUGCCAGAAUUUUUUUACCAACUAAAUUUUGGGUUGGGAAUGCGAAAUUUUUAGAGUUCCAGCUAAAUUUCCUACUAAUUUUAUGAGGUCCCUUAAAUUUUCAGCAAAACAAUCUUGAACCUUGAAAAAGUUAAAACAAAGGGAUGUUCAGUUUCUCACCAGUGCAGACUAUGCUUUUUUGAAGUUUUCGGUUCAAAAUUGAUUUUGUUGCCAGGCUGAAGUUACAGAAUUGCAGUUGGCAAUUACUUUUCAUUCUUAGUCAAUUUACCUUUUAUUUUUUCUUUUGGUUUGUCUUCCAUAAAUUUAAGAAAUAAUCAAAUGCAUUAGCUUUUACCCAACUUAUUAUUUGAGGAAUGAAAGAUUGUAUUUUUGACAAAAAUACAUGAAUAGUAAGUAAGAAGUUCGGAAGGAAGGUUAUAAGAAGUUCGAAUAAUAAGGAAAUGUAUGAGAAAAGAUAUGUAACUGAAGUAGAAGUUUUACUAAAAACAAGAAUUAGAAAGACUUUGUUUUUCAAAUUCAAAAUUUUUAUCUGUCCACAUCAAAGAAUUGAAGAAUAUUAAAUUAUAAAAAUCCUACAAUGGGAACAAUAUGAAAUUUGAUUGUGCUUUUUUAAGUGGUGCUGUAAGCAAUUGCCUAGUUUUUGAGCUGUCCCUGGUACUGCUUCACAUGAUUAGGGUCAUUAUAUUUGUAGGAAUUAGAGAAUACCCAUGUGCUUAUAUGAGUCUGUUGUCAAUCAAAUGUACUGCUUAAAUAUUUCUUGUUAGAAACAUCUGCAGUUGAUAUGGACAAGAAUCUGCCAUGUUUAUUCAUACUUGUCUAGUUUUUUAUUGGAGCAGCAAGAUGAUCCUUGCAUUGGGGAUGUUGUAGUGGCACUAUGUUAGAAAGCAUGUAUAGGUGUAUGGUUUGUCUGAUUUUAUUAUCUUGGUAUCGUGAUGCAGCCGACAUAUUACAAUUGGACUUCUGUUCAUGUAUAUGUUAGGCUGAUAUGACUGUCCUACAUAUCAAAGCUUGUUAGAUGGAGCCUAAUCAUGCAACGCAGAAUGUAAGGGGUGUGUCUAAUAAAGAUAAAUAUUAAAUAUGUAUAGAAAAAAACUAAAAUAUUCAGCACAAACUAGGAAUUUCUCAGUAUGUCAUUUCAAUGGAUUAGCUAAAUCAAUCUGCAUAUAUAUAUUUUCAGUUUGUAUAUGAUGUUAAUUAAAUCAAUGCACAUUUGAAUUUUGAAGCAAUUCAAUACAUACAACACAACUAAUCAGAAUUUGUUUCAAAUGCAAUUUUUGACAUAAACUUGGAGGAUCAAGUAAAUCAUUGAGCAUGACUAUAUAUUUUUUCAAUAUGCAUAUACAUUAACUCAAUCAAACACCAUUAAAAAUUUUCAACAAUAAAAGCAAUAAUCAUGUAGAUGUUAGUCAUGGAUUAUCUUGAAAUUUAGAGUCAAGCACUAGACGUUAUUAAUGCAUGUAGUCAACCAUAAGCUCAUGAAUUCAGUCAAAUAUACAAUACAAAGGUAUCAUUGCCAAUGCCUGAAAAAGAAACCAGAUGAGAUUAUGCAUGUGAUCUUAAAAAGAGAAGUCGAUCCUAAUAGUUAUUAAAUGAAGCAAAAAAUCCAUGAUGCGCAGUAGAGUAUGUCAAUUUAAGGUAUUAAAAAAAAAAAAAAAAAAAAAAAAAAAAAAAAA